GCCUGGGUGGCUCAGUCGGUUAAGCGUCUGACUUCAGCUCAGGUCAUGAUCUCGAGGUCCGUGAGUUCGAGCCCCGCGUCAGGCU
rnacentral:tRNA from 1 species